UAUUAUUAAACGAAGCCAGGCUCUCCACUUCUAAUAUUCUGUUAUACGAACGAUUACAACUUUAUUGUUAGAAAAUUAUUUUAAUACGCGGACAUUCGAAGCAGGAUUUUACAAGAUAACUGGCUCUUGAUAAGCAUUAUCGUGGAGCAGCGAUUUCAUGCGAGCAACUGUGUUGAUGUUAGACUUUAAUAGACGAGGGAAUUAAUCACGAUAUCCCUGCUGAACAUGCAAACUAAGACUGUGUUGAUUGGCGGUCCGUGUGGGGAUAUAUUUCCGCUCGCGUAGCCAUUCAGAUGGCAGGAGACAACAACACUCGAACAACUAGAAAAAAAAACAUUAGAUAUGUAAAAAAAAAUUAAUUAAAUAAUCGACAAGGUUUGGCCGGCUUCAUUUACUUCCGGUCAGCGGAAUCGAAAAAUCAAAAUCAAAAAUAUAUAAAUAGCGUUCGAAAGCGCUUGUUGUCACAGAUAGCUUCCGACAACCGACCAGAGAGGAGAAAAAUUCAGCAAAGAAAAUAUAAGACCAAAGAAAAACCAAAGUAGUAUAAAAAUGGCAUACGUCCCAAAAGUCUAUAGUUAUAUGGUCAACUUCCUGACACCAGCGGAAAUUCGACCAAAUAUAAUCUUUCCGACGCAGGCCUCCCUGACCCAGUAAA